AGCUCAGACAGGGCACACACCCUUUGCCUUAUUCCCAACAAAGACUUCUUCCCUCUUCUACUCUGAAACCCUCAAAAGUAGCUGUGAAACAAGGUUAUCAAGUGAAACCCUCCUAGGCUGAAGGAGGUGAGGAGGAAGAAAGGGCGACUCUUUAGAGAAGACCCCGAAGCUCGUUCUGUAGGGACCUUGCUUCAUAAUCCUAGACCCAACCAUCCUCCUGUAUGUAGAGCUGUCUCUGGCAAAGGCUCAAGCUGGGAACCACUAGUUGUGGAUAAGUCCGGGGUCAUUUCUGAAACUGGAAGGUGGUGGACAGUCUUGAAAUGGGAUCAGGAGAGAAGAGAUGGCCUUACCAGAAGGUGCACUUGGGUCUGGGUCAAGGCCAAGGAGGCAGGUUGGUGCUCUCCCUUUGAAGUUUUCUACACAGAUCUCAGCAUCAGAGCAGCUGAGGGCAUCUUGAGGACUGUAAACCAGGACAGAGAUAGUCUGGGUGGCAUGGAAGGAGAUUUAGUGGUAUAGACCCAGGAACCUGUUUUGCUCGGAGUCUGAGUAGAAACAUUGGGGACUGUGUUUCGACUCCCAUCUUGCAACUGGGGAACCUGAAAAUUUCUCUGCAGUGGCUUCAUUUGGAACCUGGUGAGGACUCCCAUGACAGCUUCUUUCUUACCUGCCUCUGUGGUCUGAGGUGGUUUUCUGGUGACAGAUAUACCCACCAGUACCUCCCCAUCAGUUUGGUUAGAUCUGGAUCCAACUAGUAUGAAUUGGCUUAACUUGGUGUCCAGCUCUUGAUCAGCAGGGAUGACCUCUGUUCUGUGGGAGAGUGCAGGGUCUGGGUUUUGGACUCUACUCUGUCCUGUGAAGAAGUGUCCUUCACUGAGCUGGAAAAGCAGAGCUGGCAUCUCUUAGGCCAGAGUUGUUCUGGGCUGAGCCCUACCCCCACAGUUUGGUCCACCAGACUUUCCUUGACAGAGGCUUGUGGCCCGAGUCCAGGCCUUAGAGUGUGGAGCCCAAGCAGUUCACGGAAAAGCAGGAGCAGUCUGUCCUGGGGGUCAGGGAGAUGAGAGUGUGACACGGUGGUCACUCCUUAUGGACAGACCCUGGGCCAUGUGUGGUGCCUUCCUGAUCUGGAGGAUUUAGGAGACCAGUUUUAAUUUAGUAAAUUAUCACAGAGGUGUCUUGCUAUUGCCCGUGCCUCCCUCCCGCUGAGUGGGCUCUCCUGGGUCUUUCCAUCUGGGGUCUACCCCUAGUCUGACGCUGCCCAGGCUGUGACGCAUGCCUAGUGUGCAUCUUACAGCUUCUAAGAUUUUCUUUCCAAAGUUAGUGUCUGGAAGGCUCUUCUGUUUUUGUUAUUAACAAGGAACAAGUGCAGCUCACCAGCGUUAUGCCAGACAGGGUGGCAUGUUUCAGGGUCUUUGCUGGAUCUUUCACCCCCAAACUGUAUGAUGGCUCUGGACCUCACUCUGCCGGAAGCCUGACUGGCUGAAGCCUUUCUGUCUGUCGGCCUGAGGUUUGUUUUCUUUUGAGUCAGCUUUCUUACUUUGGAGCUGAGGCUGGACUGGAUUGUAGGUGUGUGCCCUAAGCCUACAUCUGUAAUUUUUUUUUUUUUAAAACCAGGUUCUUUAAUCCCCACUCCCCAGCUUUGCAAGUUCCAUGAGUGUGGGGCCCUGCCUUACUGGUUUUCACCACUGCAGGCCUGGCCAACAGAUGGGGCCUCGGUGAACGUUAGUUGUACAAAUGAAUGGAUGAUUGUCUGCCAGGCUGCUUGAGGCUUCCUGUUCCUUAAACACACCUCGGCACUCCCAGCUCUGGGGCCUUUGCCCUAACUGUUCUCCAAGAGAGUCAGUGUGGCUUCCCUCCCUAAUCUGCCUCCUCAGCAUUGGCUCUAUGAGACCUUGCUGUCACCCCAUUUAAGCCUGUAACCCCAACAUCUCUCUUGACUUUCCCAGCCCUCUCCCUUGUGCUCCGUUUUCCUUCUCAGCUCAGGGGCUCUGUGGUUUGCCAAGCCCUCGUCUCCACCCAGUACAAUAUAAGAUCCAAAGGGCAGGCGCUGUGCUCCGAUGGUUGUGUCGAUAGCUCUGGUAUGGCCCUUGGCACACAGUAAGGCCUCAAUAAAAUAUUACCCAGUGGAUGAAUAAAUGAAUAAAGGACUUGUCAGAUUUGGG
rnacentral:lncRNA from 1 species